UGGGGAAUUUUACGCAAUGGGGGAAACCCUGACGUAGCGACACCGCGUGAGCGAAGAAGCCCUUUGGGGUGUAAAGCUCUGUCAACAGGAACGAAAAAAAUGACGGUACCUGUGGAGGAAGCAUCGGCUAACUACGUGCCAGCAGCCGCGGUAAGACGUAGGAUGCAAGCGUUGUCCGGAUUUAUUGGGCGUAAAGAGUUCGUAGGCGGUUUGUUAAGUCUGAUGUUAAAGACCGGGGCUCAACCUCGGAAAUGCAUUGGAUACUGGCAGACUGGAGUGCAGUAGAGGCUAGUGGAAUUCCCAGUGUAGCGGUGAAAUGCGUAGAUAUUGGGAAGAACACCGGUGGCGUAGGCGACUAGCUGGGCUGUAACUGACGCUGAGGAACGAAAGCCAGGGGAGCAAAUG
rnacentral:rRNA from 1 species